rnacentral:rRNA from 1 species
GAUCCUGGCUCAGGAUGAACGCUGGCGGCGUGCCUAAUACAUGCAAGUCGAACGCGAGCAGCAAUGCUCGAGUGGCGAACGGGUGAGUAAUACAUAAGUAACCUGCCCUAGACAGGGGGAUAACUGCUGGAAACGGCAGCUAAGACCGCAUAGGUAUGGACACUGCAUGGUGACCAUAUUAAAAGUGCCAAGGCACUGGUAGAGGAUGGACUUAUGGCGCAUUAGCUGGUUGGUGAGGUAACGGCUCACCAAGGCGACGAUGCGUAGCCGACCUGAGAGGGUGACCGGCCACACUGGGACUGAGACACGGCCCAGACUCCUACGGGAGGCAGCAGUAGGGAAUUUUCGGCAAUGGGGGGAACCCUGACCGAGCAACGCCGCGUGAAGGAAGAAGGAAUUCGUUCUGUAAACUUCUGUUAUAAAGGAAGAACGGCGGAUAUAGGGAAUGAUAUCCGAGUGACGGUACUUUAUGAGAAAGCCACGGCUAACUACGUGCC